CUACUCAAUUUGAAGAAGAGCAGGCAUCUUUUGCAAAUGGUAAAGUGGUACUGGAAACUGCUUUCCCUCCAAGCUACUGGCUUCUUGCUCUAUCAAAAAUUCAGUCCUUUGACUAAUUUUUUUUCUACAAUGGUUUUUGCUAAACUUCAUCAUGAGUUUGAAAAUGUGAAAACAGAUUCAUAUCUUAUAAGAGAUUUACAAAGCAAAACAGAUGUAAGAGCUGCUAUAUGCUGGCAUUGCAGCAGUAGUAAAUUGAAGGGACAACAUCAGCCUGCAGUGGAUGAACUGCCAUGUUUUGAGAUUAUGUCAUAAUGGUAAAUGAGUAGGAAAGGAGAAAAGCAGUGAAAAAUCUGUUUCUAUACAACUUAGAGUUUUAUUAUUUUUCUAAUAUGAUUUUAUUUAAUUAUAUACUGUAAUUUUUAACACAGUGUUUUCUUUUACGUUGUAUCCAAUUUGCUUUUGGAAUGUGUUGUUAUUUGCAUAGAACCAUCUCAUGUCCUGGAAGACUCCACUAAGCACUGAGCUACUGUAUAAGAUAGAGGUUUCCUCCAGGUAUGGGGGAAAUAACUGUGGAUCACAGUCUUGUCAGAGCAGAUUUGUGCUGAAGACACGUGGAAAGCCUUCUCUGGGAUGGUAGUCAGGUUGUGAGUAACCUGGAGUAACCCAUCUUUAGUGGGUGUUUAAGGUAACUACUGCUGAAUAUAGUGCUUCCAAGAAAUCAAAAGGUUGCAGCAAACAGAAUUUUUUUCUUAAGAAAGAUUGCCUUUGCUAGUCAAAGAACUGAGCUGAGUUUUUUUUCUCCAGUUAGCCCUUGUAAUAAAAAUAAAAUAAAUCUGAAUAAAGAAAAGGAC
rnacentral:lncRNA from 1 species